UGAGGAAUAUUGGUCAAUGGGCGCGAGCCUGAACCAGCCAAGUAGCGUGAAGGAUGAAGGUCCUACGGAUUGUAAACUUCUUUUAUAAGGGAAUAAAGUCACCCACGUGUGGGUGUUUGUAUGUACCUUAUGAAUAAGCAUCGGCUAACUCCGUGCCAGCAGCCGCGGUAAUACGGAGGAUGCGAGCGUUAUCCGGAUUUAUUGGGUUUAAAGGGAGCGUAGACGGGCCGUUAAGUCAGCUGUGAAAGUUUGAGGCUCAACCUUAAAAUUGCAGUUGAUACUGGCGUCCUUGAGUACGGUUGAGGCAGGCGGAAUUCGUGGUGUAGCGGUGAAAUGCUUAGAUAUCACGAAGAACCCCGAUUGCGAAGGCAGCCUGCUAAACCGCCACUGACGUUGAGGCUCGAAAGUGUGGGUAUCAAACAGGAUUAGAUACCCUGGUAGUCCACACGGUAAACGAUGGAUACUCGCUGUUGGCGAUAGGCUGUCAGCGGCUUAGCGAAAGCGUUAAGUAUCCCACCUGGGGAGUACGCCGGCAACGGUGAAACUCAAAGGAAUUGACGGGGGCCCGCACAAGCGGAGGAACAUGUGGUUUAAUUCGAUGAUACGCGAGGAACCUUACCCGGGCUUAAAUUGCAGAUGAAUUACGGUGAAAGCCGUAAGCCGCAAGGCAUCUGUGAAGGUGCUGCAUGGUUGUCGUCAGCUCGUGCCGUGAGGUGUCGGCUUAAGUGCCAUAACGAGCGCAACCCUUGUUGUCAGUUACUAACAGGUUCCGCUGAGGACUCUGACAAGACUGCCAUCGUAAGAUGUGAGGAAGGUGGGGAUGACGUCAAAUCAGCACGGCCCUUACGUCCGGGGCUACACACGUGUUACAAUGGGGGGUACAGAGGGCCGCUACCACGCGAGUGGAUGCCAAUCCCCAAAACCUCUCUCAGUUCGGACUGGAGUCUGCAACCCGACUCCACGAAGCUGGAUUCGCUAGUAAUCGCGCAUCAGCCACGGCGCGGUGAAUACGUUCCC
rnacentral:rRNA from 1 species